rnacentral:siRNA from 1 species
UUGAGCAGUGUACAGAUAUAGAC